UACAGAGGGGGCAAGCGUUGUUCGGAAUUACUGGGCGUAAAGGGCGCGUAGGCGGCCCUCUAAGUCGAACGUGAAAUCCCUGGGCUCAACCCAGGAACUGCGUCCGAGGCUGGGGGGCUGAGAAUCCGGGAGAGGGAUGUGGAAUUCCAGGUGUAGCGGUGAAAUGCGUAGAUAUCUGGAGGAACAUCGGUGGCGAAGGCGGCAUCCUGGACCGGUAUUGACGCUGAGGCGCGAAAGCUAGGGGAGCAAACGGG
rnacentral:rRNA from 1 species